GUGGCAGCCGCCGCGGUAAAACCAGCACCUCAAGUGGUCAGGAGGAUUAUUGGGCCUAAAGUAUCCGUAGCCUGUUCUGUAAGUUUCCGGUUAAAUCCAUUAGCUCAACUAAUGGGCCGCCGAAAAUACUGCAGAACUAGGGAGUGGGAGAGGUAGACGGUACUCGGUAGGAAGGGGUAAAAUCCUUUGAUCUAUUGAUGACCACCUGUGGCGAAGGCGGUCUACCAGAACACGUUCGACGGUGAGGGAUGAAAGCUGGGGGAGCAAACCGGAUUAGAUACCCGGGUAGUCCCAGCUGUAAACGAUGCAGACUCGGUGAUGCGCUGGCUUGUGGCCAGUGCAGUGCCGCAGGGAAGCCGUUAAGUUUGCCGCCUGGGAAGUACGUACGCAAGUAUGAAACUUAAAGGAAUUGGCGGGGGAGCACCACAAGGGGUGAAGCCUGCGGUUCAAUUGGAGUCAACGCCAGAAAUCUUACCCGAAGAGACAGCAGAAUGAAGGUCAAGCUGGAGACUUUACCAGACAAGCUGAGAAGUGGUGCAUGGCCGUCGCCAGCUCGUGCCGUGAGAUGUCCUGUUAAGUCAGGUAACGAGCGAGAUCCCUGCCUCUAGUUGCCACCAUUACUCUCAGGAGUAGUGGGGCGAAUUAGCGGGACCGCCGCAGUUAAUGCGGAGGAAGGAAGGGGCCACGGCAGGUCAGUAUGCCCUGAAACUUUGGGGCCACACGCGGGCUGCAAUGGUAGUGACAAUGGGUUCCGAAACCGAAAGGUGGAGGUAAUCCUCAAACGCUACCACAGUUAUGAUUGAGGGCUGCAACUCGUCCUCAUGAAUAUGGAAUCCCUAGUAACUGCGUGUCAUUACCGCGCAGUGAAUACGUCCCUGCUCCUUGCACACACCGCCCGUC
rnacentral:rRNA from 1 species